rnacentral:tRNA from 1 species
AAGUAAUAUAAAAUACAGUUCUCAUUUUUUUGUAAAAUUUAUAAAUACUAUCAACUUGUUAAUUU